GAUGAACGCUGGCGGCGUGCCUAAUACAUGCAAGUCGAGCGAAUGGAUUAAGAGCUUGCUCUUAUGAAGUUAGCGGCGGACGGGUGAGUAACACGUGGGUAACCUGCCCAUAAGACUGGGAUAACUCCGGGAAACCGGGGCUAAUACCGGAUAACAUUUUGAACCGCAUGGUUCGAAAUUGACAGGCGGCUUCGGCUGUCACUUAUUGAUGUACCCGCGUCGCAUUAGCUAGUUGGUGAGGUAACGGCUCACCAAGGCAACGAUGCGUAGCCGACCUGAGAGGGUGAUCGGCCACACUGGGACUGAGACACGGCCCAGACUCCUACGGGAGGCAGCAGUAGGGAAUCUUCCGCAAUUGACGAAAGUCUGACGGAGCAACGCCGCGUGAGUGAUGAAGGCUUUCGGGUCGUAAAACUCUGUUGUUAGGGAAGAACAAGUGCUAGUUGAAUAAGCUGGCACCUUGACGGUACCUAACCAGAAAGCCACGGCUAACUACGUGCCAGCCGCCGCCGUAA
rnacentral:rRNA from 1 species